ensembl:lncRNA PABPC4-AS1 PABPC4 antisense RNA 1
AGAAUACUGCCAGCCGGCAGGUUCCCAAGAGCUGUGACCAAACAGCACACCCACCUGUGGGACUGCUGGCACAAAGUAGCCACCCGCUGCAGGCUGGAACUGAUUUAAGAUGGCAUUGGCAGGAAGUGCUCUCAUUCCAGCCACUCGUUGCAUAUACUGGUUGGUCAGUGAUAUCUGUAGAUCAACCACUGCACACACAGACAUUAUAAAGAUAACCCAUCCUCUGGCAUACUGAAUGACACAAAGGACAAAAAUUAUUUUGGCUUGUAAUAGCCAAGACUUAUUGUCUCUUCUUCUCCCCAUAUGGCUUUGAUUUGUCCAGGUUCUUGAUGAAGACGUUUCCCACACCAGAUUUUCUCAAAGAGGGAUCCCUCUGAGACCACAUGAUGCGGAUUGGCUUUCCCUUAAUCACAUCAAAGUUCAUGGUGUCCAAAGCCCGCUCAGCUGUAAGAGAGAAACACAUUUCAAUAAGGAGAGAAAACGUCAGCUCCCACAGGCCAACAGCCUAAGAACAGAUUACUCCAGGACUUUUCAAGUGAGGUAUUGCAUCAAAGUUAUCAAGUCAUUUAGUCUGCAAUCCACCUAUGGAGACAAGUGACAAAACCUGUAAAGCAAAUGAUCUGGAAAAAAAAAAAAAGGUGCUAUCCCUGAAUUCAGAAUUCAGUCCAGUUUAUUUUCAAUUUCUGAGAACAGAAAUUGACUUAAACAAAAAAGCAUCAGUCAUCAAAAUGGACACAACUGAUCACACAUGGAAAAGUUCUCUGUACUAUCACAAGGAUAAAACCACCAUACCUUCUGCCUAAGUAGACAGUGCGCAGAUGGCAGGCCCUGCACCCACCUUUUGAAGCCUUAAUGGAAGUUCUGUAGAAUUCUAGGACUUCAGCUACCCUGGGUGCUCAACCAACUUCCCCAUCCAACACCUUGGAAUGCUUCCUUAGCUUCCCAACCAAGUCCGUGUGUACACCAGAGACAAUUUAAAGAACCAAAGGCUGGGCUGGGUAUGGUGGCUCACUCCUGUAAUCCCAGCACUUUGGGAGGCCAAGGCGGGUGGAUUACCUGAGGUCAGGAGUUCGAGACCAGCCUGACCAACAUGGUGAAAACCCCAUCUCUACUAAAAAUACACAAUUAGCUGGGCAUGGUGGCGGGUGCCUGUAAUCCCAGCUACUCAGGAGACUGAGGCAGGAAAAUUGUUUGGACCCAGGAGUCAGAGGUUGCAGUGAGCUGAGAUCGCGCCAUUGCACUCCAGCCUGGGCAGCAAGAGUGAAACAGUGUCUCAAAACAAACAACAACAAAAAGAACCAAAAGCUAAAAAAUAA